UAUUACAGCGCUGACAGAAGUUUAGAAAUCAUUAAUAGUAUUUUUAACUUUUGAGUUCGUUAUCGUUCGUUAGAUUACUCAAGAUUCUUUCUUACUGCAAUGCUUGUGUAUCUUCAACCCGAUUCAACCUUUAAAUUUCAACAGGCCAAAACGAAACAAUAAACUACGAAUAAGCAAGCAACAACGUGGCCCAAUAGUUCUCUAUAUCUAUUUGAUAUUAUACAAUACAACUAAGGAAUUCUAACUUGCUAUUAUUCAGCAUCGGCAAUUGGUUAGAUUUGAUUGUUCACACGAAUGGAGGAAACGAAGUCUUACCUAGCACAUGGUAUCAUGAUGGAAUAUGUUCCUUACCAUCAAUUCGCAAGUUGGCUGAGGAUUGUCGAUUCUGAAGAUGUCACGGAAAUAGUAUAUGAAUGCUAAAUUCUUUCGAGUAACGAUUUAUUUAAAAAACCCACAAACAUAAAAGAGGAAUCUGGCAUUUCGUAUUCAGCAGGGUUUUUUUGAGUAGCUUGAAGAAAAAUAUGAGAUCUGAUAAGGAUAAAUAAAUAUACAAACUCAACGAAAAAUAGUCCAGCAGAUAACUAAAUCUUCUACUUCCAGUAUCGUUUCUGAAGAGAGAGUUAGCGAUGAAAUUGAUACAAAUGACGCUGGUGUCGAACGAGUACCAAAGCGUGUAACACCCACAAAAGUAAUCAGGAUAAAUCCUCGUUACCAACGACUAACAAUUCUGGGGAUUCAGAUUCCGGUUUGGAAGAAAGUUUCAAUU